AAGGCUUUAAGUUAAUUGAAACUAAUAUCCUUCAAAGCUAUAAAUAAAGAGAUACACUUUA
rnacentral:tRNA from 1 species